GCGUGGCGCUGGCGGGACUUGCGCGGGGCGGGGCGCCGGGCGCGGGGCGGGGCGGGGCCUCCGCGCUCAGACUGGCCGGGCGCUCGGGCUGCGCGGGCUCUCGGGGAGGCAGCAUCCUCCGCAGUCCUCGCCUCCCCUCCGUCCUCUUUUCCUUCUCCUUCUCCCUUUCUUCCCCGCCCCGUCCUCCCAGGCGCUCCCGGACCGCGAGCAGCCGCACGGAGACCGCGGCCCCGGCUCCUGCUCCAGGUGGAUGCAGUGCCACUGAGCUAAAUCCCUGGCCCACUUUGGUCUAAAUUUUAAGAAGUCACUACAUUGCAGUGGAAG
rnacentral:lncRNA from 1 species